AUGUGUCAGUAUGUCUGUCAGUGCGUCAGUAUGUCUGUUAGUGCAUGUGUAUGCAUGUGUCAGUAUAUCUGUCUGUGUGCCAGUAUGUCUGUGUGUGUGUCAGUAUAUCAGUCUGUGUGUGUCAGUGUAUGUGCCUGUGUGUGUGUGUCAGUAUUUCUCAGUGUAUGUGGGUGUCAAUAUAUCUGUCAGUGUGUGGGUGUCAGUAU